AGCUUUGUGCAGUAGCAGUAUCGUAGCCAAUGAUACAUUGGAGAAUGAUCUUUUGACUGGAAAGUGUAAAUUAAGAACCUUCUGCUUUCUUAUAACCGAGGCAUGAUUAUUGCUAAUUGAAAAGAAAAAAACAAACAAACCAUGGGGUUGUUUCCUUAAAAAAAAACUGUCAGCAUUCAUUUUUUAUUGAUCCUAAU
rnacentral:snRNA from 1 species